UAAGGAAUAUUGGACAAUGGACGCAAGUCUGAUCCAGCCAUGCCGCGUGAAGGAUGAAUGCCCUCUGGGUUGUAAACUUCUUUUAUAGGGGAAGAAAGAUACUUUUUUUAAGGUAGUUGACGGUACCCUAUGAAUAAGCACCGGCUAACUCCGUGCCAGCAGCCGCGGUAAUACGGAGGGUGCAAGCGUUAUCCGGAUUUACUGGGUUUAAAGGGUGCGUAGGCGGGCAUGUAAGUCAGUGGUGAAAUACCGGAGCUUAACUUCGGAACUGCCAUUGAUACUAUAUGUCUUGAAUAUUGUGGAGGUAAGCGGAAUAUGUCAUGUAGCGGUGAAAUGCAUAGAUAUCUGGAAGAACACCAGUUGCGAAGGCGGUCUCUUGGUCUGACACUGACGCUGAGGCGCGAAAGCGUGGGGAGCAAACA
rnacentral:rRNA from 1 species